UGGCGGACGGGUGAGUAAUGUCUGGGAAACUGCCUGAUAGAGGGGGAUAACUACUGGAAACGGUAGCUAAUACCGCAUAACGUCGCAAGACCAAAGAGGGGGACCUUCGGGCCUCUUGCCAUCGGAUGUGCCCAGAUGGGAUUAGCUAGUAGGUGGGGUAAAGGCUCACCUAGGCGACGAUCCCUAGCUGGUCUGAGAGGAUGACCAGCCACACUGGAACUGAGACACGGUCCAG
rnacentral:rRNA from 1 species